rnacentral:rRNA from 1 species
UCUGGUUGAUCCCGGCGGAGGUUACUGCUAUCGAGGUUCGACUAAGCCAUGCGAGUCGAAUGUAGCAAUACAUGGCGUACUGCUCAGUAACACGUGGACAACCUACCCUUGGGACGGGGAUAAACCCGGGAAACUGGGUAUAAUACCCGAUAGGUCUCGGAUGCUGGAAUGCUUCGAGAUUUAAAACUCCGGUGCCCAAGGAUGGGUCUGCGGCCUAUCAGGUUGUAGUGGGUGUAGCGUACCUACUAGCCUACGACGGGUACGGGUUGUGAGAGCAAGAGCCCGGAGAUGGAUUCUGAGACACGAAUCCAGGCCCUACGGGGUGCAGCAGGCGCGAAAACUUUACAAUGCCGGCAACGGCGAUAAGGGAACCUCGAGUGCCAGGUUACAAAUCUGGCUGUCGUGAUGCCUAAAAAGCAUUGCAUAGCAAGGGCCGGGCAAGACCGGUGCCAGCCGCCGCGGUAACACCGGCGGCUCGAGUGGUAACCGUUAUUAUUGGGUCUAAAGGGUCUGUAGCCGGCCGGAUAAGUCUCUUGGGAAAUCUGGCAGCUUAACUGUCAGGCUUUCAGGAGAUACUGUCUGGCUCGAGGCCGGGAGAGGUGAGAGGUACUUCAGGGGUAGGGGUGAAAUCUUGUAAUCCUUGAAGGACCACCAGUGGCGAAGGCGUCUCACCAGAACGGACCUGACGGCAAGGGACGAAAGCUAGGGGCACGAACCGGAUUAGAUACCCGGGUAGUCCUAGCCGUAAACGAUACUCGCUAGGUGUCGGCCACGGUGCGACCGUGGUCGGUGCCGUAGGGAAGCCGUGAAGCGAGCCACCUGGGAAGUACGGCCGCAAGGCUGAAACUUAAAGGAAUUGGCGGGGGAGCACCACAACGGGUGGAGCUUGCGGUUUAAUUGGAUUCAACGCCGGAAAUCUUACCGGGACCGACAGCAAUAUGAAGGCCAGGCUGAAGACUUUGCCGGAUUAGCUGAGAGGUGGUGCAUGGCCGUCGUCAGUUCGUACUGUGAAGCAUCCUGUUAAGUCAGGCAACGAGCGAGACCCA